GGUGGGGGGCAUCAUCCCCAUGGAUGUUAAUAAGCUCGGGUCUGUGGCAGCAACAACUAUCUUCACUCCCAGCCUGCAGAGGUGAGCUACCAGUGAACUUCUUAAUGAUACGGAGCAUUCUCACCAGAAUGAGAUGAAUUCUCACCUCUCACCAGAGCAUACCUAAAUGUCCUUGGUGAAUAGUGUAUCCUCGCGUCCCUCCUGUGGUACCUUGGAUUCAGUAAUGUACAAGAGUUUCACCUGAUCCACAUCCUCAUCCACACUUGAUAUUGUCUGCUUGGGAUUCUGAGACUUGGAAGAAGGCAUGGUGUCAUCCUGAUGGGCUGAAGUGAAGAUUUAUACUCUGUCCCAGGCAGCUUUCGCGUGAUCUUUGUGCAGUCUGGGUUUUCAGCAAGGCUGCUCCUUAGCCUCAGCAGGUUAAAGGCUACAGCAAGGCAUUCAGCGAGCCAGCCAACAAAGAGAAAGCGGAUUAUAAUCAUGAGGGGCACUACAGAGAUCUGGCGAGCUGACCCUGCUAAGAAUUCCCUUUGCCAGCUUCUGCCAGCUUUCCCAGGAUCCCAUCUUCAAGCUCCAGAUUCCAGGCUGGAGCCUUCUGCAGCACCCUAGUCAAGCUAUAUGGGAGACCAUAAGGAAACUCAGAGAACUCACUGCUGUGUUCUUCCUCAAGUCUUGAAGUCUCCAGGCAGUUCACUUCCUUCUUUCUACCUUUCAGAGUCUUCCUGUGCUUAUUUUAGUCCAGGGUUGUGUUAUGGUUCUGCUGACUGUGUUAUAGCCAAGACAUUUAGUUGUAAUGGUGAGAUUCAGAGAGAAAUUCCAUCUUGGCCAGAACUGGAAGUUGAAAUUGAAUUUUUAUCCAUUUUUAUUUGAUAUAUUAUUCAUAAUUAAAUAAAUGACUAAUAAAAAAUAAAAACUAGAAAGAAACACACUUUUGAGAUGACUUGC
rnacentral:lncRNA from 1 species